CCCUAGUAACGGCGAGUGAAGCGGGAUGAGCUCAAGCUUAAAAUCUCUGCACAAGUUUUGUGUGGCGAGUUGUAGCUUAUGGAKACGUGGUCAGUGUAAGUACUUUGGGAAAGUUCCUUGGAAGAGGAUAGCAUCGAGGGUGAUACUCCCGUUCGUCCCUUAGUGAUUUAUGCUUAAGACCCGUUUUCUUUGAGUCGCGUUGUUUGAGAAUGCAGCGCUAAGCAGGUGGUAAAUUCCAUCUAAAGCUAAAUAUUGGUGCGAGACCGAUAGCAUACAAGUACCGUGAGGGAAAGAUGAAAAGAACUCUGAAAAGAGAGUUAAAGAGAAUCUGAAACUGCUGAAAGGUAACCGGAUCGUUCCCAGUGUCUAGAAUCCGCGGCAUAUUCCACUGGCGAGUGUGUAUUUGUAUAUACUGUGGUAGCUGCUGUCUAGUAGUGCCUGGUGUGUAUAUAAUGCAUGUUUGUUAUUGCUUUGUGCUGCGGUGGGACGUCAAUGUCAGUUCAUGUGCUGCGGGAAAUGGCUGCCAAGGAGGUAGGACUUACGCUUGCGUUUGCCUAUUAUAUCUUGGUGGACGAGUCAUCGCGGCUGGGACUGAGGUGCCUACAACGUGUUGCUGAGUGGAUGCGCAUCUCUGUAUGCUCCGCAUGCGGAUAGCUUGCUAUGUGCAUGUGGCUGUGUACGGAUUGAAGAGUAUCUUAACUUGUCGCCGUUCGGGACAUUGGCGAAAUGGGGCGAUCCGACCCGUCUUGAAACACGGACCAAGGAGUCUAACAUAUGUGCAAGUGUUAGGGUGUGGAAACCCCAGCGCGAAAUUAAAGUAAAGGACAGCUCAGUUGUCUGAGGUAG
rnacentral:rRNA from 1 species